CUACGGGUCGCACCAGUGAGGAAUAUUGCACAAUGGGGAAACCCUGAUGCAGCAACGCCGCGUGGAGGAUGACGCAUUUCGGUGUGUAAACUCCUUUUAUCAGAGAAGAAAAUGACGGUAUCUGAUGAAUAAGCUCCGGCUAACUCCGUGCCAGCAGCCGCGGUAAUACGGAGGGAGCAAGCGUUAUUCGGAAUCACUGGGCGUAAAGGACGCGUAGGCGGGUUUUUAAGUCAGGUGUGAAAUCCUAUGGCUCAACCAUAGAACUGCACUUGAAACUGGGGACCUAGAGUAUGGAAGGGGCAGGUGGAAUUAGGGGUGUAGGGGUAAAAUCCGUAGAUAUCACUAGGAAUACCGAAAGCGAAGGCGACCUGCUGGGACAUUACUGACGCUGAGGCGUGAAAGCGUGGGGAGCAAACAGGAUUAGAUACCCCGGUAGUC
rnacentral:rRNA from 1 species